UAGCCGUAAACGAUACUCGCUAGGUGUCGGCCACGGUGCGACCGUUGUCGGUGCCGUAGGGAAGCCGUGAAGCGAGCCACCUGGGAAGUACGGCCGCAAGGCUGAAACUUAAAGGAAUUGGCGGGGAGCACAACAACGGGUGGAGCUUGCGGUUUAAUUGGAUUCAACGCCGGAAAUCUUACCGGGACCGACAGCAACAUGAAGGCCAAGCUGAAGACUUUGCCGGAUUAGCUGAGAGGUGGUGCAUGGCGUAGUCG
rnacentral:rRNA from 1 species